rnacentral:misc_RNA from 1 species
UUUUGUUAUUAUGUCCCAACUGUUGAAUUGUAUUUCAGUACAGAAGGAAAGCCCAUAACCCAGAGAAAUCCUAGAGAUUGGUGGUAGACCCGAAUCCAGACCCGGUAGAGUAGAGAUUUCCCUCCACCAUCAUCGCUGCAUCACGCAGACUGACAUGGGACGACAAAGCUGAAAAAGAAGCACAAGCAAAGGAAGCCUACCUAGUAUAUCAGUAACAAACUCGGCCAAGAACACCUGAUAGCAAAAGUCAUCCUCAUCCUCAACUCAUUCAACAACCAGGCACAGAACUCAGAAACUCAUCGGGGAGGUGAGGCAGAGCACUAGGCGGUCUCAAUCUCUUUUAAACAUUGAAGGCUGGGCGCUUCUGGAGGCGCAGGUAACAUCCCCGGAGAAACCAGACCUCCAAACCCGACGAGCAAAGAAAAACCCCAACUGCACAGAGCUUGACCCACGCAGACAGCACCGGACCUUAAGCCAAAACAACAGUUGGAGCCACACCUUCCUCUACUGCUCCUCCUGCAAUUGCCUUCCGGUCACAGCUUCUUUGCCUUUCCAUUGCAAUCAUGGUGUUUAUAUUUCCAUGCUUGGGAGUUACCGACAUUGGUUGGUGGAGCCUUCAUUUUCCAACUUCCCUUUGCUGGUCUCAGGGAUGGGAUUAGCACUUGUUUUGAGCCUUUCACAAGCAACUCUAGGCUACUGGUCAAUUCCAUAGCUUUUUCUCUUGCAGGUCUGCUUCCUUGAUACCAUAAUUGAACUUUUCUUUUGACCCAUUCCUAUGUCAGUACUUGUUGGCACAUUUUGCUGAGAUGCGGAUUGGCCCUCAGGUCUUGCUGAAGCAGAUUUUGCUGUGCUUAUACCAUAAAUGUGCUCUUUUGGGCAUCAUGCUUCUACCAAACGAAAUUAUAUAAACUAAAUAACUGUGGCCAGGACUAUCUGGGGAUGACUCCCAUCAACAAGACCUCAGCACAAAAUUUUCGAAGUGAAUUAGCUAAGCUUUAGGCUUUGACCUUAAUUCUUCUUCUUGAGGCAUGAACGGUAAAGCAUCGAGCGAGUCAAGAAUUUGCCUGUUAAAAUUUUGGUUCUUCCUCAAGACAUUUUAGACAUUCUACCCUUAAUUCCAUGUUUUUGGGGUACAGUUUGUUCUACACUAUAUUGUUAUGAACAUAUCUUGCAUUUGUAUAUUUUACAAAUUCAGGCAAAGAAUUUGUCCAAAUGUUGCUCAAAACAUCUUAGAGAACCUCUUGAAGCUAAAAUUCGAUUUGCUUAACCUUCUCGAAUGUUUUCUUCUUGGUUGCUCCUCUACUAUUCAAGAUAAAUGUGUAGUGUACGAUUCAGUAAUGCUUCAGUGGGCAUGAUCAAUGUCACAUUCUGGGACUAUGAAUCCGUCUUGCUUGCCUUUCGGUUGCUCUGCUACUAUUCAAGAUGAAUGUACAGUUUCAGCACCUUUUUGAAGAUACUCUCAUGAUGAUGUUGAAGUCUGGCAGUGUUAUGUAAAA